UACGGAAGGGUGCAAGCGUUACUCGGAAUUACUGGGCGUAAAGCGCACGUAGGCGGGUUGUUAAGUCAGGGGUGAAAUCCUGGAGCUCAACUCCAGAACUGCCUUUGAUACUGGCAACCUAGAGACUGGAAGAGGUUAGUGGAAUUCCCAGUGUAGAGGUGAAAUUCGUAGAUAUUGGGAAGAACACCAGUGGCGAAGGCGGCUAACUGGUCCAGCACUGACGCUGAGGUGCGAAAGCGUGGGGAGCAAACAGG
rnacentral:rRNA from 1 species